CUAUUUAUCCACCAUAUUUGUUACUCAUUAUUUAUCAUUUAAUGUUUCAGAUAAUCAACUCAUUACUUGAAUAACAACAAUUGUCCCAUGCUCCAAGCAUGCACACUUUGUUUCCUAUGGUCCAUGCUUUGUGAAAUAGAUCAAUUGAAAAACUUUUCCAAUGAUGCUCAUUUCACAAUUCACAAUCCUUAUCAUUUGUGUAAGAACACAAGGUUCAUUGCUACUAUUAGAAUAUGCUAGAUUCUAACAUUUUAUGCAACGAUCCUUUCGUAAAGUCAUAGCACAAAAGUCACCAAGACUUGGCUAUUGAAAUUACAAAGUACUCUCUUAGAAAUUGUUACAAGAAAAUUUCAUAGACGUGAAGUCUCACAUUUAAAGUACAUUCCUUUGAACAUUCUUCUUGCGUAGAAGUUUCUAAUCUAGACAAAAACUCUCAAUAUCCAACUCCCAAUAUGGAAACAUUUCCAUAUUUUCCAUAUGACAUCUCAUUCUUAAUAGAAUCUUAUCUAUUCAUAAUAAUGUCGAUACGGUCCAUCCAAUACCAUACUUCCAACUACUCACAAGCGACCAAUCCUCAGCGAACUUUGGAUCGUCCUUUGAUAGUUGAUUAAUUAUUUUAGUCAAAACCGAUUCUAGUCCUUUUCCCUCUUAAUGCGCUAGACAUUUGGAAAAUUUUAGAAUGGUCAAAUAUUAUAGCAUUUGCAAUCGAUCCUAUACCUGAAGCGUAUGGGACACAAUGNUCUCAAUAUCCAACUCCCAAUAUGGAAACAUUUCCACAUUUGCCAUAUGACAACUCAUUCUUAAUAGAAUCUUAUCUAUUCGUAAUAAUGUCGAUAUGGUCCAUCCAAUACCAUACUUUCAACUACUUACAAGCGAUCAAUCCUCAGCGAACUUUGGAUCAUCCUUUGAUAGUUGUUAAAUUCUUUCAGUCAAAACCAAUUCUAUUCCUUUUUCCCUCUUAAUGCGCUAGACAUUUGGAAAAUUUUAGAAUGGUAAAAUACUAUAGCAUUUGCAAUCGAUCCUAUACCCGAAGCGUAUGGGACACGAUGCAUAAUGUCUUACAUAAAGAUAUGAUACUUUACCAAUCUUUUGCCAUAAUAUUUU
rnacentral:lncRNA from 1 species